UACAGAGGUCCCAAGCGUUGUUCGGAUUCACUGGGCGUAAAGGGGGCGUAGGUGGCGUGGUAGGUUUGAUGUGAAAGCUCAGGGCUCAACCCUGAAAUGGCAUUGAAAACUACUAUGCUGGAGGUUUGGAGGGGGGACUGGAAUUCUUGGUGUAGCAGUGAAAUGCGUAGAUAUCAAGAGGAACACCAGUGGCGAAGGCGAGUCCCUGGACAACACCUGACACUGAGGCACGAAAGCCGGGUGAGCAAACAGG
rnacentral:rRNA from 1 species